rnacentral:rRNA from 1 species
UACGUAGGGUGCGAGCGUUGUUCGGAAUUACUGGGCGUAAAGGGCGCGUAGGCGGCCGCCUAAGUCAGACGUGAAAUCCCCAAGCUUAACUUGGGAACUGCGUCUGAUACUGGGUGGCUUGAGUUCGGGAGAGGAAUGUGGAAUUCCAGGUGUAGCGGUGAAAUGCGUAGAUAUCUGGAGGAACACCGGUGGCGAAGGCGGCAUUCUGGACCGAAACUGACGCUGAGGCGCGAAAGCCAGGGGAGCAAAGCGGG